rnacentral:lncRNA from 1 species
AUCUUUUGGAUCUGGGCUGUUUCUUGAGACGGGGUGCUGUGUAGGUAGAGAAGCCUUUUGCCACUGGGGCUGAGAAGCACACCCAGAAACAGGUUCAGCAGACGACCAUUGGGGUGUUUUACCGCUUCCUGGCUGCUGGAGGUGCCCCUUGGACUAAUGGCAGCUUUGGUUAACCCGCUCAGUCAAGUUCCCAAUGUUAGGCGGAUUCCGUCUUCUUUUACACAGCUCCUGCUGCAGAGGAGCACAAGGCUCAGAUUGACAGAGAAUUCAAUAUUUCAGUUUCUUGUUUAAAGAGACAAGCCUGUUGAGUUCAGUAGGACUGAAGCACAUGGAUAUUUUUGGAUCCUCACAUUUGAGGGAUGCUCCUAACAUCACAGCAAGUGGCAAUCUUCUGUCUCCUCAGAAUUUUGUUAAUCUGUGAGCUGUCUUUAUCAUGUUAAUUGAAAUUCUUUGUAGAAAUACAUGUUCCUUGUUUUUUUUUUUCACAUUAUAUUGGCUACUGUCUGUUUUCCACGGAUACCUUUCAGAUGUUGCCAUAGCUUGCUAACAUAUUGCUUGUUAUCAGUAUGUUUGUCUGUAUUUUCUCUGGAUCUACUCAUUGUUCUCCUUGGUGAAUGGAUUCUGGGAAUCCACAAGCCAGCAGAACAGUUCCUGCCUCUCGGAGCCUGAUCCAUGUUGUCCUCUGCUGAUGUACCACUAAGUACCCAUUGCUGAUGUAUUUGUAACACUGAAAAGCUAUCUGAGCUUACUACCUCAAGCGCUGCUUCCCCUUCUGUGUUUAAAAAUAUGUUGCAUUGAAUGUAGAUGUUGCACUGAAGAUCCUUCAGCUGUGCUAUAAAUCCUCAUUCUGUGAAAUAAUUCAUUCAAAUGCUUGUUGCUGCUGCUUGUCAGGGAUAGUGGUGUUGCCAGUUAGAAAGUUAGGUAAUUAAAUUGCUGUCACAUCUCUGGAAAUAAGAAGCGAGUUGGACUGCUCUUAUUUACAGGAAGAAAGGGAAGUACAGUGAUUCUGACUGGUAGCUUUAUCAUCAAGGAACAUCUCAGUGAGGCAAGACAAGUCCUGCUUUGAGAACAGUGGUCUCCCCUCUUUAGCAGAGAGUGAAGGGUGUAUUUUGUAACACAAGGGAAGCCUUGUGCUUUUAAGAUCAUAGUACAAUCUAGAGAGAACAGAGAAUUUAGGUGGAAAAAAAAAUCAAACUUUUCUCAUAAAUACUUGGAGAGGGUGUAUUUGGAUUUUUAUUUAUUUUUUUUUUGUCAUUGUUCUGUGCACAAUAGAUGUGUGUAAUUGAGCGUUUUACAAAGAGAAGUUGUUUUAUAAAUCAUGAAAAAGAUGUUCUGGAAAUUGUAGAAAUAAGAUGCUGUGGUUUUUUUGUUUUGUUUUUUUUUUUUUGUUUUUUUCUUUUUUAAAUAAUCAAAAUUGCUUCCCAAACAUUUUGCUUGGAGGAAAGCUGGAUGUUUUUUUGUUGUUGUUGUUAUAUAAGCACUAAUGGAAGUUUCUGUCUUACACUAACUUAUAGCAACUUACCUAAACAGAAUGAUGAUAUGUACAAAGUUAGACUACAAGCUUUCAGACAAAAAACCCAACAAUUUAAGAUAUUGAUAAUUUUAGCCCAUAAGCACUAUGAUGAACAAGAUUUUUUU